rnacentral:lncRNA from 10 species
CACAGAUGCACAUGAAAUUUGGUGCCGUGACUCGGAUUGGGGGACCUCCCUUGGGAGAUCAAUCCCCUGUACUCCUGUUCUUUGCUCCGUGAGAAAGAUCCACCUAUGACCCUCAGGUCCUCAGACCGACUAGCCCAAGGAACAUCUCACCAAUUUUAAAUCAGGUGGAGUCUCGCACUGUCAUCCUGGCUGGAAUGCAGUGGUGCAAGCCGACUCACUGCAACCUCUGCCUCUUGGGUUCAAGUGAUUCUCCUGCUUCAGCCUCCUGAUUUGCUGGGAUUGCAGAGCAAACCAGUGAAAAAAUGGCCUUCGCACUCCUGAGAGACCUUUCACCGGGCUUUCUACUUUUGAAUUCUCUCCAUAGCUGGUUUCCUCUUAGGCCUCGAUAGAGCAGUCCCUGAAUCACACAGGUAUGCUGACUACGUCUUUUCCUGGUACAAACCAUCAUGGGGGAAACACACAGCAAGAAGCAUCUUCAGGUCACAAGAUAGGUAAUACCAUCUACCUGAAUUUUUUCAAAAGCAGCAGAAUAUUUAGUUUUCUAUUUCAGUGGCUUCUAACAGAGAUCAUUGUUUGCACAAGAUUAAAUGUCUGCAGUGGUCGUC